AUACGUAGGUGGCAAGCGUUGUCCGGAAUUAUUGGGCGUAAAGCGCGCGCAGGUGGUUCCUUAAGUCUGAUGUGAAAGCCCCCGGCUCAACCGGGGAGGGUCAUUGGAAACUGGGGAACUUGAGUGCAGAAGAGGAUAGUGGAAUUCCAAGUGUGGCGGUGAAAAGCGUAGAGAUUUGGAGGAACACCAGUGGCGAAGGCGACUGUCUGGUCUGUAACUGACACUGAGGCGCGAAAGCGUGGGGAGCAAACAGGAUUAGAUACCCUGGUAGUCCACGCCGUAAACGAUGAGUGCUAAGUGUUGGGGGGUUUCCGCCCCUCAGUGCUGCAGCUAACGCAUUAAGCACUCCGCCUGGGGAGUACGGUCGCAAGACUGAAACUCAAAUGAAUUGACGGGG
rnacentral:rRNA from 1 species